GGCUUGAUGGUGUAGCUGGUAACACACCUGCUUCAAUUAACAGAGGUGUAUUUGCAUGCAGGAUCCUCCGGUUCGACUCCGGCUCAGGCCG